UUAGAUACCCUAUUAUUUUAAACUUAAAUUAAUAAGCUAAGUGAUUAAUAGUUAAGUUCUUUAAAGCUAAACAAUUUGGCGGUAUUUUAAACUAUUCAGAGGAACCUGUCCUAUAAUCGAUAUUCCACGAUUGUAUCUACUUUAAUUAUAAAUUUUUAUAUCAUCGUUUUUAAAUAUUUUAUAAGAAUUUAAUAUUUAUAAUUUCUUUAUAAAGAAAUAAAUCAGAUCAAGGUGAAGUUUAUAUGAAAGAAGAGAUGGGUUACAAUUAAUUUUAUUAAUGGAUUAAAAAUUUAAAUAUUUUUUUGAAAUUGGAUUUGAAAGUAAUUAAAUUAC
rnacentral:rRNA from 1 species